UUUUUAUUGGGUUUUUUGGGUUUUCAGAUAUAUUUUUUUUUAAUCUCUGUGGGUUUGUGCGUCAACUGUUCUGGGCAAUCAGCUACGUCUUGUUGACAUAGCUAAUAGGGUUUCUGACUUGGCUGUUCAGUUGUGUUCUGAAAUAACUCAAUCAGACUCACAGCAAGUCAGGAACAAAAUGGAAAGUUUAGAAGAGGGAAAGCUGGAAAUUAAUUUCCGGAGCUGUGUGGUUAUUUUCUAAGUCUGGACUCUUCUGAGCAGCAUGCAAAACUUCUUGGUAAGAUUCUUGGAGACAAUUCCAUGCUAUUUUCAAAGGCUAUGUAUUUGUGGGAAUCCAGGCUCUUGCAGAUUUUCAGUGAGCUACCAAAGUGAAGAGAUAGCAGAUGUGAUUCAUGAGUGGGGGAAUGGUUUACCUUGGGAUGGCUGUAGUGAUUCCUGCUCUCUCAGGUGUUUCUUGAUCCUUUUGCAGACACAGCUCAGCUGUUUGUGAAGAACCUGUUGAUUGCUACAACCUAGCUGAUAAAGGAAAACUGGGGUGGAUUUGGGCUCUUCAAUCCUUCAAGCUCUACACUAAGGAAGUCUGGCUGCUCCUCCACAGUCAGUGAAGCUGUCCACACCGCAGGUAUGCAAACUAUUGACAGGGUGAGCAACCUUGGUCAUGAGUUAACCCUGCACUGCCUUCUUUGAAGCUAGACAGCAUCUUCCUGUACUACACUCCUCUCUGCAAUACAGCCAUACCCUGAAACUCAAGAGGGUUGCAAGUGUGUAAAGAUCCCUGUAAAUUGUGUGUUCAAGACAACAAACAGCAUGGGACACUUGGAAUGACAGUAGUUUUGAAAUAGGGAAUUUGGCUCCUAAAUCAAUUGGGCACUUUUAGGAAAUAGCCCUUCAGCUAUUCAGUUUCCUCAAUCUCCCCUGCACACUCUUGGCUGGGCUCACAGAAGAGGUGGUCAUGCUCUGGUAUAAGCUUUUCUCCUACCUUUGGUUGUGCUGCGCCUUGCUAUGGUAUAUAAACAUCUAGCUGCUAGCAAGUGCACCUUGUGCCUGUUUUCUUCCUCUUUUUCUUGGUGAU
rnacentral:lncRNA from 1 species